rnacentral:rRNA from 1 species
AAUAUUGCACAAUGGGCGAAAGCCUGAUGCAGCGACGCCGCGUGGGGGAUGAAGGCCNNNGGGUUNUCACCCCCUUUCAGCAGNGACNAAGCGAGAGUGACGGUACCUGCAGAAGAAGUGCCGGCUAACUACGUGCUAGCAGCCGCGGUAAUACGUAGGGGGCAAGCGUUGUCCGGAAUUCUUGGGCGUAAAGGGUGCGUAGGCGGCCUUUUAAGUCAGAUGUGCAAGCCCACGGCUCAACCGUGGGAUUGCAUUUGAAACUGGAGGGCUUGAGUAUCGGAGAGGGUAGUGGAAUUCCCAGUGUAGCGGUGAAAUGCGUAGAUAUUGGGAGGAACACCAGUGGCGAAGGCGACUACCUGGACGAUUACUGACGCUGAUGCACGAAAGCUAGAGGAGCAAACA